CACACACACAAACGCGCAUUUUUACAUCAAGCUAAGCUAAUUGAUUAAACUUAAUAUAAAGAAAUAGUUUAAAUAUGAAAAUGCAAAAAAGCAAACAAAAAACAAAACAAAAAUCACAAUAAAUAAUAUACAAUGUAAAAUAUAUACACAUUGAAAUUCAUAAAUGUCAACCGAAAACGAAAUAAACAUCCAAAAUCUAAAGCUAGUUAAAAUUAAUAUUAUAAAUCGUGCAAAAAUUUAAAAAAGACAAUUUUAAUGUUUGAAAUAUAAAAAAGAAAUGGAAAAAUAUCCACGAUUUGUUUGAACUUUCCAUGGGCUGAAGCAACAUGAACGACCGAUAGCGCCUGUGGCCUGCACCCAACUCAUCGAGCAUUUCCAAGAGCUCUUUCCUAUCUUAUCGCAACUCGGAUGUAGAGUGCAGUUUUCUCUCCUCUUUUUUUGAUAAACUUAUCAGAGUGUACUCGUAAAUUGCAACGAAACAACAAGCUCCUUCAUGCCAGACAUGCGCGCUACAAAGACGUUCACAUUCGAUGGCUUCUGGCCAGGGGCAAGGGUUUGUUGAGCUGUGGUGCUUCAGCCUGUCAGACUGGAGCUAUCUAUUCAUAAAUGCUAACGCCAACGUCAAAGCUGCUUCGCCUGGGCACGCGAUCAAUAUGUAAUUAUUUUCGAAUAUGACGGACGAGUCCCUGGAUUCGGGUUUGCAUAUAAAAUUCUAUUAAAAAGUUUGAACGUUUGACUUGGAGUGGGGCCGAGCACCACCAGCAUAAAAAAACGGCUGUCACAAUAGAAUUAC